AGGAUGUGCCCAGAGGGCGCCCUUCCUUCAGAGGCCUCGUUUGCCCGACACUUACGACAGGCCUUAGGACGUAAGGCGUGGACGUGCGUGACGUCACCCUCUGGCCUGCGAGAUGGCGAGGGCAAGUAGCGGGGCCGAUGCUCCCUUGGGAUCCGGGUGUGGCUCGGCUCAGGUAACGCCCGGCCCUAGGACUCCUUCGGCCUCCGCCCACGGGGAGUGCUGAGACUGCCGGCCGGUGUGCUGGCGACCUUUACCCAGGCUUGGUCAAGGCUUCCUGGCUGGCGCAACUGCACUGGCCUCGCAGUGGACGCCUGCUGGUGACCUUUACUCUGUUAAACCAUCUUCCUGCUCUCCCAGUGAGAGCCUCAAAGCUGGGGAAGUGAAUGGAUGAACUGGGAGAUGUCUGACUCGACUUAGAAUUUCUGAAGCAUGCACACUAUGGCUAAGUUUCAGACUGAAAAGCCAGAAAAAACAGGUAGAAGUUACAAGAAAGAAAAAGUCUUUUUAGAAACACCACAAAGAAAAUGAUCAACAAUCAAGAACAGACAAAAGCAGAAUGGAUUGGCUGUGUGGAAGGUUUUUGUUUUAUGAGUGUGUGUAUAUGCAUGACUGUAUGUAUGGUACACGUGUGUGCAGUUGCCCUAGGAGGCCAGGAGAGGGCACUGCAUCUUCAGGAACUGGAAUUACUGGUGGUUGCAAGCUGCCUAAUGUAGGAUAUGGGAGCCAGACUCACAUCUUGAGAACCAAACUUGUGUCCGUAGGAAGAACAGCAAGUGCUCUUAACAGAUGAAGUAUCUUUCCAGCCCUACUUUGGAAGUGUUUAAACUGAGAUAAGGUGGCUUUCUGUCUUAAUUCCCUAAGAAUAAAGAAAAAAGUUUGUUGUAUGUGUUUCUACGCAGAUUGUGAAGCCAGAAGUUGACAUUAAACAUCUUCCUUGACCGCA
rnacentral:lncRNA from 1 species